rnacentral:rRNA from 1 species
AGGUGCUGCACGGCUGUCGUCAGCUCGUGUCGUGAGAUGUUGGGUUAAGUCCCGCAACGAGCGCAACCCUCGAAUUUAGUUACUAACAGGUUAAGCUGAGGACUCUAGAUUGACUGCCUGGGUAACCAGGAGGAAGGUGAGGACGACGUCAAGUCAUCAUGGCCCUUACGGCCAGGGCUACACACGUGCUACAAUGGGGUAUACAAAGAGCCGCAAUACCGUGAGGUGGAGCAAAUCUCAUAAAAUAUCUCCCAGUUCGGAUAGUAGUCUGCAACUCGACUACUUGAAGUUGGAAUCGCUAGUAAUCGUGAAUCAGCAACGUCACGGUGAAUACGUUCCCGGGUCUUGUACUCACCGCCCGUCACACCAUGGGAAUUGAAUUCAUUCGAAGCGGGGAUGCUAAAAUAGCUACCUUCCACAGUGGAUUUAGUAACUAGGGUGAAGUCCUAACAACAUA